rnacentral:rRNA from 1 species
AACGUAGGAGACAAACGUUAUCCGGAGUUACUGGGCGUAAAGGGCGCGUAGGCGGCUUAUCAAGUCAGGCGUGAAAUUCCCGGGCUCAACCUGGGGGCUGCGCUUGAUACUGAUUGGCUUGAAUGCGGGAGAGGAUAGUGGAAUUCCCAGUGUAGAGGUGAAAUUCGUAGAUAUUGGGAAGAACACCGGUGGCGAAGGCGGCUAUCUGGCCCGUAAUUGACGCUGAGGCGCGAAAGCGUGGGGAGCAAACAGG